AACGCUGGCGGCGUGCCUAACACAUGCAAGUCGAGCGAGGAGAUUCCUUCGGGAUGAUCCUAGCGGCGGACGGGUGAGUAACACGUGGGCAACCUGCCUCAUAGAGAGGAAUAGCCUUCCGAAAGGGAGAUUAAUACCUCAUAACAUUGCAGUUUCGCAUGAAACAGCAAUUAAAGGAGCAAUCCGCUAUGAGAUGGGCCCGCGGCGCAUUAGCUAGUUGGUGAGGUAACGGCUCACCAAGGCGACGAUGCGUAGCCGACCUGAGAGGGUGAUCGGCCACAUUGGGACUGAGACACGGCCCAGACUCCUACGGGAGGCAGCAGUGGGGAAUAUUGCACAAUGGGGGAAACCCUGAUGCCAGCAACGCCGCGUGAGUGAUGACGGCCUUCGGGUUGUAAAGCUCUGUCUUCAGGGACGAUAAUGACGGUACCUGAGGAGGAAGCCACGGCUAACUACGUGCCAGCCGCCGC
rnacentral:rRNA from 1 species